CGCGACAGCAACAGCGACUACGGCGGCGACGGACUCUGUCGAUGGUGGCGGCGGUCGCGGACGAGCGCGGCGACUGCGGCGGAAUUGGACGCGGACGAGGGCGGCGGCGGCGGACGCGGGAGAGGGAGGCGGCAGCGGUCGAGGGCGGCGGUGGACGAGGACGAGGCGGCUGUAGUCGACGGUGGCGGCGGCGGACACGGAUGAGGGCGGUGGCAGCGGUCGAGGGCGGCGGUAGUGACGACGACGGCGGACACGGACAAGGGCAGCAGCGCCUUUGCUUCUGUUGCUCGUGCUGCUAUCAUCGGUUCCUCUCUCUUGGAAGCUCGCCCACUCUACUGCUGCAGACACACAGAAUUGGGGGCAGACCUCUGUUGUUCAUCUUAGCUAUUCAAGGAUGGUGUGCUGCAGACGAAGAUUAGGGACAAAGACGAUCCCCGCCUGUCCAAGAUGCGGAAAGAGGUGGUGGCUGGGGGAAAGGAUACUAUGGAGGUGGACAAUGACUUCUUCCUGGUGCCUGUCAAGAUCUCUGAUCACCAGGUAUUCUUAUUAUUUCCUACCUGUUGCAUAGUAUAAUAAAAACUUACAGUUUGCUAAAUAAGUUUGCUUCCUACAACAUAGCAAUAUUAAGGUGAAAACCAAACAUGCAUGGACAUUUCACUUGACUGGGUAGCAGCAUGUUCAGCAUGUUUGAAACCUUGAAUCAUCACCCCUCAUAUCAUUUGCACGAUAUUUUAACAAAUCUAUCUAUCACUUUUAUAAUAUUUAACAUAUACUUAUCAAUAUGUUUCACAUUGAAGCAUGGUAUUAUUUGAUUGAUAAACCCUGAUGUUUCAUUAUUAUUUUUUUCUUUUUACUCCUAACUUGCUGUCAAAAAAAUUAAUAAUUACUUAGUAAUUCCCGCAGUAAAGCGCGGGGAAUCACCUAGUUGUAACCAAUAACUAAGAUUAAAACAAGACAGUUAAUGGUUAAUGCCAAACAAACUUAAAAAGUUAUAAGUUACAUAAAACAUUCUAACUGUCAGUCUUGCUUCAAGAUUCUAGAAUUCUACCCCAUAACCAAUUUUAUUGUAAGGCCCUGUUUAGUUCCCACAUAAAAAUUUUACACACUGUCACAUCGAACGUUUGAACACUUACACAAAUUAUUAAAUAUAGGCUUAAAAAUAACUAAUUGCACAGAUUGAGACUAAUUUGCGAGACGAAUCUUUUAAGCCUAACUAGGAAGGUAGCCCACGCAAUUGCACGGGCAUCUUAUUUAAAAUAUCAUAAUUUUUGUUGUUAUUAGGAUUGUGAAAUAUUAUGACUUUGUCUAUCCGUGAAAGAAUUUAGGGACUCCUUUGUAACAUAGGAUUUUGAAAAGAAAAUAGAAAAGGUACAUAAAUAUGAUUGAAAUGUAUGUGCAAAAUAUAGUAUGGAAAAGAAGUGUACAUAAACACGGGAAUUUAAAAUUUAUUAACCCACCAAGAUAAAAUUAUCAUCCAUCAGUGCACAAAUAAUAACCAACCUUUGCAUUAGUGGCUUGAUUGCCUCGAUGCUAUGUGAAGGAAAAAAAAGAUGCACGGACAUCUUAUUUUUAUUUUAUUGAUUUUAUUGCCGUAUAGAUAUGCGACGACUUUUACUUAAGAUGUUAAUUAAUAAUAGUUUCAAUAUACGAUGUUUGUCCAUAAAAUAUUUAGUACUUAUGAUAAUAUCAUAUAAAAUUAUACAACCAUAUCCUUUUGUUUUGAAUAUGAGUGUUUGAUAUUUUCAAAACUAAAUGUUGAGCGUUAGUUAUCUUAAAAAUCAUUAACAUAUUUAAGCAGUGAAACAUUAAAAUCAUAAUUAUAUUCUAUGCGAUGACCUAGUCCGGCAUCAUAACAUUAUGCGUGCAUUAUAACUUGUCACAUGGUCUGAGUAUUUUAUUAUUUUACUUUUACUCUAAUUGAGUUGCCCUGCACCAAAAAGAUUGUAUUUACACAAUAGAACAAUAUAUUAAAUCACAUGUUUACAACAAUCAUACCUCUGCAUCUAGUACAAUCAUCUGUAUACCAUAGAAAUCAUCAGCCAUUGUAGGAUUAACCGCAUCCCAUAGCCUAGUAACUUUUACUUUGAUUUUCCACCUAUCGUUCUUUGGUGUUAAUGCAAUAAUCAAAUUAUCAGGUGCCAUGUUAUCUGCAGAUGAGUAGUAUUGCAUAUAGUUACUAAACAAAUUUGACAGAGAAUUGUAAACAAUUUUAUACAUGUUUAUGUUAUUUUAUAGAACUAAUUAAUAUAAAAUAACAUAAUUGUGUUCUUUGGUAGGUGCAAGGUUACUUUUUUGUGCUGAAAAAGAAUGUGACAAAACUGUAUACAUAGAUAGAUGCAACAUAAUAUAGCUCUAACUAAUACAGGAUAUCGUAAUUAUGUUCUUUAGUAGGUGCAAUGUUAGUUUCUUCUGCUGAAAAUAUUAUGACAAAACUGUACAGAUGCUUAUGUUAUUUGCUAGUUGCAAAAUCAUGUAGUCCUAAUUAAUAGAGGAUGACAUGAUUGUGUUCUUCUGUGGGCGCACAAUUACCUCCUUAUGCCAAAGAUGAGUAGCUGGAAUUGAGUAAUGUCGCAAGGUGCUGCAGAGCUCUUCUUCUCCAUCCGCCGAAAUUGACUAAUGUCGCAAGAUCGUGUUGCUGGCGGGGUGUAUAUAUAUGCAUUGCCUUAGGAAUCUUGUCUCAUGUAUAUAUGGAACUAAUCUUUGGUGCAAUUAAUAAUCUUGCCUCAUGAAACUAA